UAUCGACAGAAGGCUUCGGGCAGUGGACUCGGGCAUCGGGCCAAGAAGAGCGGUUAUUGUGCCAAGGAUAUCGGAGUUGCGGAGUCAACUGGCCGAUUGGGCAAUAGGCCGCACGAGAGGACGAUGCGCCGAAGAAUCAGACGAAGCGUCGAGGGACCAAUGACAUGCCGGAUAACUUGGUUAAUUGCUUAGGAUUAAUU
rnacentral:lncRNA from 1 species